UACAGAGGGUGCAAGCGUUGUUCGGAAUCAUUGGGCGUAAAGGGCGUGUAGGCGGUUUGUUAAGUCAUGUGUGAAAUCCCUCGGCUCAACCGGGGAACGACGCUUGAAACUGGCAAGCUAGAGUACCAAAGAGGGCGGUGGAAUUCCCGGUGUAGCGGUGAAAUGCGUAGAAUAUCGGGGAGGAACACCUGUGGCGAAGGCGGCCGCCUGGUUGGAUACUGACGCUGAGACGCGAAAGCGUGGGGAGCAAACAGG
rnacentral:rRNA from 1 species